rnacentral:rRNA from 1 species
GUAAGGAAUAUUGGUCAAUGGAGGAAACUCUGAACCAGCCAUCCCGCGUGCAGGAAGAAGGGGCUCUGCCUUGUAAACUGCUUUUGCAUGGGACGAAAAAGCGAGAUUUAUCUUGAACUGACGGUACCAUGAGAAUAAGCACCGGCUAACUCCGUGCCAGCAGCCGCGGUAAUACGGAGGGUGCGAGCGUUAUCCGGAAUCACUGGGUUUAAAGGGUGCGUAGGCGGUUGUAUAAGUCAGUGGUGAAAGGCCGUAGCUUAACUAUGGGAUUGCCAUUGAUACUGUAUAACUUGAGAGAGGUUGAGGUUGGCGGAAUGUGGCAUGUAGCGGUGAAAUGCAUAGAUAUGCCAUAGAACAUCGAUUGCGAAGGCAGCUGACUGGACCUUAUCUGACGCUGAGGCACGAAAGCGUGGGGAGCGAACAGGAUUAGAAACCCCAGUAGUCC